UGUGGCCAAACCACACUGAAUACGCCCGAUCUCUUCAGCUCGCGGAGGUUAAGCAGGGUUUAGUCUGCUUCAUACUUUCGAUGGCAUAGACUGCCUGGACAU
rnacentral:rRNA from 1 species